rnacentral:rRNA from 1 species
GAUGAACGCUGGCGGCGUGCCUAAUACAUGCAAGUCGAGCGAACAGACGAGGAGCUUGCUCCUCUGACGUUAGCGGCGGACGGGUGAGUAACACGUGGAUAACCUACCUAUAAGACUGGGAUAACUUCGGGAAACCGGAGCUAAUACCGGAUAAUAUAUUGAACCGCAUGGUUCAAUAGUGAAAGACGGUUUUGCUGUCACUUAUAGAUGGAUCCGCGCCGCAUUAGCUAGUUGGUAAGGUAACGGCUUACCAAGGCAACGAUGCGUAGCCGACCUGAGAGGGUGAUCGGCCACACUGGAACUGAGACACGGACCAGACUCCUACGGGAGGCAGCAGUAGGGAAUCUUCCGCAAAGGGCGAAAGCUUGACGGAGCAACGCCGCGGGAGUGAUGAAGGUCUUCGGAUCGUAAAACUCUGUUAUUAGGGAAGAACAAAUGUGUAAGUAGCUAUGCACGUCUUGACGGUACCUAAUCAGAAAGCCACGGCUAACUACGUG